GAGUGGGGACGAGAGAGGGACAGAGAGCCUGCUUGCUUUAAAGGAACCAACCGGACAUGAGUGUAAGCUGCUCCUCUCCUCUCCCGCUUUGCUCCUUUAAAGAAGCAGGCUCUCUGUCCCUCUCUCCUCCCCACUCA